AGAAGUGCAACUUUGUAACUUCACUUUAGCCUCUGAUUGCAGGCCACCACUUCAUUUACAUGGGGUGAGCACCAAUGCGUUUUGUUCAAUUCUUUGUUCAAAACCCCAAGAAUCUGGACAACUUGCACUCAAGACCCUCUACGGGUUUGGCGAGCCAGUCUUUCAGUGGCUGUUUUCUAGUAGCUCCUUGGCAAUUGAGGGGAACUGGCUGGGACCACUCUCCAGUGCUGUCUGAAGGCCAAGGAGUGAACAGGGAUGGCUGCCCUGCCUUGAAGAGGGAAGGACUCUUUUCUAUCCUUUCCAGCUAUAGUCCCUGAUCCCUACAUGUGAUGCGGUUGGCAGCGGAAGCUCAUCCUGGGCGAACUCACACACUUUUCAGGAGACUUAAACCUUUUCUUAUGCUAAGUUCUUCCCUUCCCCUACUCAUCUGGCUAAAGGACAGACUAUGCAAAAAAGGUUAUACAAGUCAGAGGGUCUGAGCAUGUCGGAGGUGGUCUGUGUGGGGCAUGGGGUGGGGGGAAAAUUCAUGAAAGGCAAUUUAUUGCCUAAAUUUAAAGGGUUAAAGGGUUGCUUUAAGUGGGAUAGAAAAACCUUAAGGAAAGUUCAUAGUAGGUCCUCAGUGGUGGAGUGUUGUGGGAAGUCAGGGACCCUGAAUGAAGGGACUGGCUGAAGCCAUGGCAGAAGAACAUAAACUGUGAAGAUUUCAUGGACAUUUAUUAGUUCCCCAAAUUAACACUUUUAUAAUUUCUUACGCCUGUCUUUACUGCAAUCUCUGAACAUAAAUUGUGAAGAUUUUAUGGACAUUUAUCACUUCCCCAAUCAAUACUCUUGUGAUUUCCUAUGCCUGUCUUUACUUUAAUCUCUUAAUCCCGUCAUCUUCGUAAGCUGAGGAGGAUGUAAGUCGCCUCAGGACCCUGUGAUGAUUGUGUUAACUGCACAAAUUGUUUGUAGAGCAUGUGUGUUUGAACAGUAUCAAAUCUGGGCACCUUAAGAACAGGAUAACAGCAACGUUCAAGGAACAAGGGAGAUAAUCUUAACGUCUGGCUGCCUAUGGGCCGGGCAGAACAGAGCCAUAUUUCUCUUCUUUCUAAAGCAAAUAGGAGAAAUAUCGCUGAAUUCUUUUUCUCAGCAAGGAACAGCCCUGAGACAGAGAAUGUGUGCCUAGGGGUAGUCCUCCAAAAUGGCCACUCUGGGGACGGCUGUCUUUUAUGGUCGUAGAUAAGGGAAGAAAUAAGCCCCGGACUCCCAUAGUGCUCCCAGGCUUAUUAGGACGAGGAAAUUCCCACCUAAUAAAUUUUGGUCAGACUGGUUGUCUGCUCUCAAACCCUGUCUCCUGAUAAGAUGUUAUCAAUGACAAUGCGUGCCCGAAACUUCACUCGCAAUUUUAAUUUCGCCCUGGUCAUGUGGUCCCGUGAUCUCACCCUGCCUCCAUUUGCCUUGUGAUAUUUUAUUACCUUGUGAAGCAUGUGAUCUCUGUGACCCACACCCUAUUCAUACACUCCCUCCCCUUUUGGAAAUCACUAAUAAAAACUUGCUGGUUUUACGGCUUAGGGGGCAUCACAGAACCUGCCGACAUAUGAUGUCUCCCCUGGACACCCAGCUUUAAAAUUUCUCUCUUUGUACUCUUUCCCUUUAUUUCUCAGACCAGCCAACACUUAGGGAAAAUAGAAAAGGACCCACGUGAAAUAUCAGGGGCUGAAUUUCCCCCGAUAGUGGAGGGAACCAUCCCAAAGCAGUGCCAGCCCCCAUCUAAGGUCAGAGACAUCUGACAGACUAAAUCAGGGCCCUAAAGUAGGGACGCCCCUGGGGACCCCAGUCUGGGUUCAGAAUUUUUUCAGGGGGAUGCCCUGGGUAAAGUUUGGGUCACCUAAUGGGCCCUCUACUUUUCAAAGUCCUCUUCUCUGUUCCAGACCACUAUGGGCAACUCUCUAUCUAUUCGACCUGAUUCCACUAUGGGCAAUUCUACACCUGUUCCACCGGAUUCCUCACUUGGCUACAUCAUCCACCAUUGGAAUCAAUUUGACCCUGACACUCUAAAGGGAAAAUGUAUAAUUUUUUUCUGUAAUACUGUUUGGCCCCAUUAUGAGCUGCCCAGCCCCCAGCAAUGGGCAGUCAGUGGUAGCCUUAAUUAUGACACCAUCCUGCAAUUAGACCUACUUUGCAAGAGGCUGGGAAGAUGGUCAGAAGUCCCAUAUGUACAGGCUUUUAUCAAAAUAUCAAAAACCUAACAAUCUGUGAAACUCCCAGAACCCACCCCCCAAAGGAAAGUACUAAGGCAGAACUAGAUAUUAUAGAUGACCCUCUUUUACAAGGGCUAGCUGUCUCUCAGGGUGAACAGCAACCAUCCCCAUAAAGCCCCUUGCCAAGUGCUCCUGAGGCUAAAACCCAGGAGCAAACACCAGGGACCCUACUAAAUCCCCCUCACACUUGGAGAGGAAUGCCAUAUUCAAUUCUCUCUCCAGCCCUGCUACCUCUUAGGGAAGUAGCAGGAACCAAGGGGCCAGUCCUAGUGCAGGCCCCCUUCUCUAUAAUUUAUACAUACAAUAUAAGGAAAAGCUAGGAAACUAUUCUGAGAAUCCUAAGAAACUUGCAGAUGGGUUCCAGCGUUUGACCUUAGCCUCUGAUCUAUCAUGGAGAGAUGUUCAAUUCAUUCUAGCAACCUGUUACACACCCUCAGAAAAGGAAUGAAUCUCUGAGGCCGCCCACCUGCAAGCAAUGAAUUAUUUGCCCAAAACUCUCAGGGCAAUCAUCCCGGCCCAGACACAGUUCCCACUAUUGAUCAUAAUUGGGACUAUAACACUCCUGAGGAAAUGAACAACCGGGCUAAAUUUCUUGAGGCUCUCCUUGGAGGAAUGAGAAAGGGAAUAACUAAAGGCAGUAAAUUAUGAUAAAGUAAGGGAGGUUACACAAGGCAAGGAGGAAAAUCCAGCCAUGUUUUAUGGCAGGCUGGAGGGAGACUUUAAAAAAUAUACUAAUCUGGACCCUUCCUCUCCCGAAGGCAAAAUAUUAAUAGCACAGCAUUUCAUUAGCCAAUCUGCCCCAGACAUUAGAGAUAAGCUCCAAAAGCUACAGAUGGGGCCACAAACUAAUCAAAAUCAGCUUACUUAUAUCACAUUUAUGGUGUAUAACAAUCGUGACCUGAAGGAAGGAAAAAGGGAACAGAGUAAACAAAAUGGCAAGCCAAAAGUAUGGCAGCCAUCAUUGACGAUGCCCUGAAUGUACAAAGAGUGUCUAAGGGAAACCCGAAGGGCCAUAAAGAUAAUGCCAGCAAAGGCUCUUGCUUCAAAUGCAAGAAAAGAAGACAUUGGGCAAAGGAUUGUGCUAAGUCCCCGCCAGGCCCCUGCCGUCAAUGCAAGGGCACCAGUCAUGACCCCUGGCACUGGAGAAUUGACUGCCCAUGUUCCCACUGAGGGGCUCAGUCAGUCAAAACUCUAGCAGUGCAAAAGGAGGAAUUAGAUGAAGACUGAAGGGGCCUGAGGUCUUCCUCACUGCCCCUGUUCAGGAACAUUGUAAUUACUACUGAGGAGCCCCAGGUAACUCUGGACGUCAUGGGCACCCAAAUUCAGUUUCUUUUUGAUGCAGGAGCAAAUUACUCUGUUCUUACUGCUUAUGCAGUAAGGCGUUCCUCCCAGUCCACAAGUGUUAUGGGAAUAGAAUGGAAGCCACAAACGAGUUUUUAUUUUAUUUUAUUUUAUUUUAUUUUACUUUAAGUUCUGGGAUACAUAUGCAGAAUGUGCAGGUUUGUUACAUAGGUAUACAUGUGCCAUGGUGGUUUGCUGCACCUAUCGACCCAUCAUCUAGGUUUUAAGUCCCACAUGGAUUAGGUAUUUGUCCUAAUGCUCUUCCUCCCCUUGCCCCCAACCCCCCAACAGGCCUUGGUGUGUGAUGUUCCCCUCCCUGUGUCCAUGUGUUCUCAUUGUUCACCUCCCACUUAUUAGUGAGAACAUGCGGUGUUUGGUUUUCUGUUCCUGUGUUAGUUUGCUGAGAAUGAUGGUUUCCAGCUUCAUCCAUGUUCCUGCAAAGGACAUGAACUCAUUCUUUUUUAUGGUUGCGUAGUAUUCCAUGGUGUAUAUGUGCCAUAUUUUCUUUAUCCCGUCUAUCACUGAUGGGCAUUUGGGUUGGUUCCAAGUCUUUGCCAUGGUAAAUAGUGUUGCAGUAAACAUACAUGUGCAUGUAUCUUUAUAAUAGAAUGAUUUAUAAUCCUUUGGGUAUAUAUCCAGUAAUGGGAUUGCUGGGUCAAAUGGUAUUUCUGGUUCUAGAUCCCUGAGGAAUCACCACACUGUCUUCCACAAUGGUUGAACUAAUUUACACUCCCACCAACAGUGUAAAAAUGUUCCUACUUCUCCACAGCCUCACCAGCCUGUUUCCUGACUUUUUAAUGAUCACCAUUCUAACUGGUGUGAGAUGGUAUCUCACUGUGAUUUUGAUUUGCAUUUCUCUAACAACAAGUGAUGAGCAUUUUUUCAUAUGUUUGUUGGCUGCAUAAAUGUCUUCUUUUGAGAAGUGUC
rnacentral:lncRNA from 1 species